GUUAUGAAAUUACUUAGCACUCACUCGCCAAAAUUACGCCUGCUCUGCAGGCUAUAAUCUCCUUCGCAUCUUCUUUGAACCAAGCAUAAUCUGAACCAUCCGUAUGGCCAUUGAGGCAAUUUCCUUCAAUCUAAAAAGGGGUCAUCAAUAAGAGAAGCGAACUACAAAGGAUCCGAGAAUGAAGAGAAGCUCCAAAAGCUCGGCUUAUGACUCUGGAGGAACUGAACUUGAUAUAUUUGAUACACAAGGCAGUCUUCAAGGAGGAAGGGUACUCUGAAGGACGGAACACAAUUUGAUGGCAGUAUCCCUUGAGGAGAACCAUUUGUGUUUACAUUAGGAGUGGGACAAGUUAUCAAAGGAUGGGAUCAAGGACUAUUAAAUAUGUGUGAAGGAGAA